rnacentral:rRNA from 1 species
AUACGGAGGGUGCAAGCGUUGUUCGGAAUCACUGGGCGUAAAGGGCGCGCAGGCGGUUUGGUAAGUCAGAUGUGAAAGCCCACGGCUCAACCGUGGAAGUGCAUUUGAAACUGUCAGACUUGAGUACUAGAGGGGAAAGUGGAAUUCCCGGUGUAGAGGUGAAAUUCGUAGAUAUCGGGAGGAAUACCGGUGGCGAAGGCGACUUUCUGGCUAGAUACUGACGCUGAGGCGCGAAAGCGUGGGGAGCGAACGGGAUUAGAAACCCCGGUAGUCC